rnacentral:rRNA from 1 species
CAGCGGAGGGACAUUACCGAGUUUACAACUCCCAAACCCAAUGUGAACGUUACCAAACUGUUGCCUCGGCGGGGUCACGCCCCGGGUGCGUAAAAGCCCCGGAACCAGGCGCCCGCCGGAGGAACCAACCAAACUCUUUCUGUAGUCCCCUCGCGGACGUAUUUCUUACAGCUCUGAGCAAAAAUUCAAAAUGAAUCAAAACUUUCAACAACGGAUCUCUUGGUUCUGGCAUCGAUGAAGAACGCAGCGAAAUGCGAUAAGUAAUGUGAAUUGCAGAAUUCAGUGAAUCAUCGAAUCUUUGAACGCACAUUGCGCCCGCCAGUAUUCUGGCGGGCAUGCCUGUCCGAGCGUCAUUUCAACCCUCGAACCCCUCCGGGGGAUCGGCGUUGGGGAUCGGGACCCCUCACCGGGUGCCGGCCCUGAAAUACAGUGGCGGUCUCGCCGCAGCCUCUCCUGCGCAGUAGUUUGCACAACUCGCACCGGGAGCGCGGCGCGUCCACGUCCGUAAAACACCCAACUUCUGAAAUGUUGACCUCGGAUCAGGUAGGAAUACCCGCUGAACUUAAGCAUAUCA